rnacentral:rRNA from 1 species
CCCUUAGAUGUUCUGGGCCGCACGCGCGCUACACUGAUGCAUUCAACGAGUUCCUACCUUGGCCGAGAGGCCUGGGCAAUCUUUUGAACUUGCAUCGUGAUAGGGAUAGAUUAUUGCAAUUAUUAAUCUUGAACGAGGAAUUCCUAGUAAACGCAGAUCAUCAAUCUGCAUUGAUUACGUCCCUGCCCUUUGUACACACCGCCCGUCGCUCCUACCGAUUGGGUGAGCCGAUGAAACUCUCGGAUGUAGGCUAUUCAUAGCCCGCAGAAGAGAUUUGAAUCGUAGCGCUUAGAGGAAGGAGAAGUCGUAACA